rnacentral:rRNA from 1 species
GUAGGUGGCAAGCGUUGUCCGGAAUUAUUGGGCGUAAAGCGCGCGCAGGCGGUUCUUUAAGUCUGAUGUGAAAGCCCACGGCUCAACCGUGGAGGGUCAUUGGAAACUGGAGAACUUGAGUACAGAAGAGGAAAGCGGAAUUCCACGUGUAGCGGUGAAAUGCGUAGAGAUGUGGAGGAACACCAGUGGCGAAGGCGGCUUUCUGGUCUGUAGCUGACGCUGAGGCGCGAAAGCGUGGGGGAGCAAACAGGAUUAGAUACCCUGGUAGUCCACGCCGUAAACGAUGAGUGCUAAGUGUUAGGGGGUUUUCCGCCCCUUAGUGCUGCAGCUAACGCAUUAAGCACUCCGCCUGGGAGUACGGCCGCAAGGCUG